UGAGAAGAGCUGCUUUGGAGGGGAAACAUGAUGAAACCAGAAACAGGGAGGAAGAAGCUUGUAAUUUGAGAGCUGCUUAUCUUACGGGGUUUAAUAGGAAGGAACCAACUUCCUUUCUAUGCAGGUUCCAAAAAAAAGUCUCUCUCGCCCUCCCCCUUCCCCCACUCCCAAAAGUGGCCUAUUUCUGAGUUCAGUUUGAUUACAUAGCACAUCCCUCAUGGUUUCUUUUUUCCUUCUAGGACCUAGCAUAGGAUCAGUCCAAAACAACAAAACGAUGUCCUUCCAUAACCUUGUUUAACAGAGUUAACAUGCAAUGCAGAAUAAAAUACAAAGAAAUAAACAGAAAUGAUGCUAUCUUCCAACAGUUGGUUUAUGGCCCUUUUAAGAACUUUGUUUAUAGCCAUUGAUGGAUUAGGAUGUAGUAUGGGGUUUAUACAUGAAAUAUAAUCAGAUAGGACAGAAAUAUCCAGAGAGCAUUGGUGAUUUCAUUAAAGUUCAUUGAAGAAGUAGCCAACUAACCAAAUUGCACAUCAUCUCACUGGGUAAUUAUUUGACACCCAAAGCUUUCACAAAAAUAAUCCCAGAAGACAGAAUAUAAAAUAAUAAUUAUUGUUCAGUUCUAAAUUCUAUUUAGAAACUAUUUGAUAACUUUUGUUCUGCCAGAAGGAUAAUUAUUAACCUUGUCAUGUUUUUGAAAUUAUGUUCUAUAUCUUAUCUUCUAUUCAAGUCAAUCCUUAGUGCAAAUUACACCCAUAGUACAAACAGGAAUGCUUAUGAUUUAUGCCAGUCAUUUAAAGUUAGAUCACAUCUGAUAUCAGUAUAGCUACCACUAAAAGAUAGUUGCCUUUUUCACCUGUAUUAUUAACCAAGGCCUACUAUAUAUCUUUUCCAGAUGAAAAGAGAAACUAUAACAGAAUCUAGAAUGCUGACUCCAAACUGGAUUUUCCAGAAAAACUGUAACCACUGUUACAGCCUUUUUAUGCUUGUCCCAGUUCCUGAAAAGGAAGCUUAUUUUCAUUAUGCUUAGCUUUGGACCUAAGCUAGGCUUGUUCCCAACUAGCCUGCAACUCAAUUAUCCCACUUAUACUAAUCUAUAGUAUAGUGCCACAUGGCUGGUUACCUCUUCUCAGUUUCCAACUACCUCCACAUUUUGAUGGUAAAUCUCCCACACCUGACUCUUUUUCCCUGUCUCUGCCGGGUGUCUGAAUUUUUAUUUUGCCUUGUGCUACAGGACAUAGAGUUUUUAUUUUAACCAAUCACAAGGUGCCUCAAGUAGGCAAGGAAGCAAAGAGACACAUCUUCUCAUAGUACAUAUAAACAUUAUCCCU
rnacentral:lncRNA from 1 species